rnacentral:rRNA from 1 species
UGGGGAAUAUUGCACAAUGGGCGAAAGCCUGAUGCAGCAACGCCGCGUGAGUGAUGAAGGCCUUCGGGUUGUAAAGCUCUGUCUUCUGGGACGAUAAUGACGGUACCAGAGGAGGAAGCCACGGCUAACUACGUGCCAGCAGCCGCGGUAAUACGUAGGUGGCAAGCGUUGUCCGGAUUUACUGGGCGUAAAGGAUGCGUAGGCGGAUAUUUAAGUGAGAUGUGAAAUUCCCGGGCUUAACUUGGGAGCUGCAUUUCAAACUGGGUAUCUAGAGUGUGGGAGAGGACAGUGGAAUUCCUAGUGUAGCGGUGAAAUGCGUAGAGAUUAGGAAGAACCCCAGUGGCGAAGGCGACUUUCUGGACCAUAACUGACGCUGAGGCAUGAAAGCGUGGGGAGCAAACA